GACGGGACCGCACAAGCAGCGGAGCGUGUGGUUUAAUUCGUUGCUACACGAAGAACCUUACCUGGGUUUGACAUAUAGGUUGUAGGGAACUGAAAAGGGACCGACCUUCGGGGAGCCUAUACAGGUGUUGCAUGGCUGUCGUCAGCUCGUGUCGUGAGAUGUUCGGUUAAGUCCGCUAACGAGCGCAACCCUCGUCGUAUGUUAUAUGUGUCAUACGAGACUGCCGGUAAAAGCCGGAGGAAGGUGAGGAUGAUGUCAAGUCAGCAUGACCUUUAUAUCCAGGGCUACACACACGCUACAAUGGUCUGUACAAUGGGUAGCCAAGCCGCGAGGCGGAGCCAAUCCUGAAAGCAGGCCUCAGUUCAGAUUGCAGUCUGCAACUCGACUGCAUGAAGCCGGAGUUGCUAGUAACCGCAGGUCAGCAAUACUGCGGUGAAUACGUUCCCGGGUCUU
rnacentral:rRNA from 1 species